rnacentral:rRNA from 1 species
GAUGAACGCUAGCGGCAGGCCUAAUACAUGCAAGUCGAACGAGAUUAAGAGGCUUGCUUCUUAUGAAAGUGUCGCACGGGUGCGUAACGCGUAUGCAACCUACCUUAAUCAGGGGGAUAGCCCGAAGAAAUUCGGAUUAAGACCGCAUAAAAACACAGGAUAGCAUUAUCCACUGUUCAAAUAUUUAUAGGAUUAAGAUGGGCAUGCGUGUCAUUAGCUAGGUGGCGGGGUAACGGCCCACCAAGGCGACGAUGACUAGGGGAUCUGAGAGGAUGACCCCCCGCACUGGUACUGAGACACGGACCAGACUCCUACGGGAGGCAGCAGUAAGGAAUAUUGGUCAAUGGGGGGAACUCUGAACCAGCCAUGCCGCGUGCAGGAAGACAGCCCUCUGGGUCGUAAACUGCUUUUAUUCGGGAAUAAACCUUUCUACGUGUAGGAAGCUGAAUGUACCGAAGGAAUAAGGAUCGGCUAACUCCGUG